UCUGUUACGUCUGAAAACUCAAAGGCAGCCUGUAAGUUUAUAUAGUCCCACAGUUUGCUGAAGAACUCGGGACUACAUAGAUUUACGCGGUGCUUCUGACAGAAUCAACAGCGUGCAGA
rnacentral:precursor_RNA from 10 species